rnacentral:rRNA from 1 species
CUACGGGAGGCUGCAGUGAGGAAUAUUGCACAAUGGGGGGAACCCUCAUGCAGCAACGCCGCGUGGAGGAUGACGCAUUUCGGUGUGUAAACUCCUUUUAUAUGUCAAGAAAAUGACGGUAGCAUAUGAAUAAGCACCGGCUAACUCCGUGCCAGCAGCCGCGGUAAUACGGAGGGGGCAAGCGUUACUCGGAAUCACUGGGCGUAAAGGACGCGUAGGCGGGUUGGAAAGUCAGGUGUGAAAUCCUACAGCUUAACUGUAGAACUGCACUUGAAACUUCUAAUCUAGAGUAUGGGAGGGGGAGAUGGAAUUAGUGGUGUAGGGGUAAAAUCCGUAGAUAUCACUAGGAAUACCUAAAGCGAAGGCGAUCUCCUGGAACAUUACUGACGCUAAGGCGUGAAAGCGUGGGGAGCAAACAGGAUUAGAUACCCUAGUAGUC